ensembl:lncRNA
AUCCUCCAUCCCCCUUUUACUUCUCUCUUCCCCUCUCUCCUCCCUCCCGCCUCCUUUCUCCCUCUCCCCCUCCCUCUCUCCUCUGAAUAAGCAAGCUUUUGCCUCUAAAAGUCACAAGUAAUCCUCGUGUGUGACAGAAAGAGAGAGAGAGAGAGAGAGAGAGAGAGAGAGAGAAACGAGCUGGCCGAGAGGAGCAGAAGGCAGGAGGGGAAAUCUGGCACAACGGCUGGGAGAGGAAACUUGAUGCUUCUGGGCCACCAUUUGCCAGGGCCUCGCUCAAGCCGGCGCCUCGGUUCCUGCCCAGCUGGAUUUGGGGGGCAGCAUUUCCUGGCGCAGGGAGAUCAAAUGAGACUGCAAAGAAGCAUAAAUGAAUAGACAAUCCAACCAACCAAAGACCGGGGGCAGCAGCAGGCCAGCAAGACGGCAUCUUCUCCUUCCCAGCCUAGAAGCCCUGUGAAAUCGAGGAUCUUCCCCCUAAAACACAUACACACAAGAUAUGUGCAAUCAAGCUGCCACCGCUUGGUAAAAAGCUCAUGGUGCCUAACCAAAAAGGAUCAGGAGCAGAUCCUUGAAUCAGCUGUCACUUCUAUAGAAUGGGAUGGUUUUUUUUUUCCUUCCUCCUUAACCUGCGCUGGAAAUUGCCGUUGGCUUUAUACAUCUCUAUAGAGAGAGGCUAAAGAGUCUUGCGUGAGAAAGAAGCAAUUUACAAUGCAAAUAGAGGCCUGUGAAGGGACGGAUGCUGCUGCUCACUCGUAACAGCUUGCUGCACCUUAAUAGCUGGUUUUAUUUUCUGAUAUUAAUAGAUGAAUUGUUGGCUAACGCUGCCGGAGAUUACUUGCUGAAAGGAAAAAAAAAGUUCGGAAUAAACUCUGAAGGCAACAGAUCUCGUUUGGAUAUUUUAGCCGCGCACACACACAAACAGAAACCAGGUCAUAUUUACAUAAAAGGAGGAAUCUUAAGCGCGGCAAGUAUCCUGGACGACUACUCCUCGGUACUGCCAGAAAGGAUCGGGACCUGGAGUCUGGCAAGAGGAAGACAGAGGCCUGUGUGGGAAGCGAGUUGUUAUCUUUGGUUAUCUAGCUGUAUGAGUGUAUUGGUCUUCAUAAAGCUAGAUAACCGAAAGUAAAAACUCCUUCAAGAUCGCCGGGGAGCGUGUGAGAGUGAAAGACUACAACCGAGAGACAGUAAAAACCAGAAAGGUCAGGAAUACUUAUUGAAUCUAACUUUGUUUUUGUUUUGUUUUUUCCCUGAUGAUUAAAGGUGGGAUGAGAGGAAAUUAAGUGACACACAUAUGCUAAAAUAUCAAGGUGCCAGAUAUAUCUUGAGAGGGGUUGUUGCAGCUGCAAAGAAGUGUAUAGUGCUAAUGAGUAAAGAUGCAUGUGCAGUUUGUUCUAUUUUAAGGCAAAAGUUUAUAUAUCAGGGAUUUUUUUCUUAGAAAGCUGUUGCAGAGAUGUCUGGUACCUAGUUUAAAAAUGAUUCUAUAACAUGUAGACUUGGGCAGUUCCUUCCUGAGGCCCCUCCCCCUCAAAAUUGGAAGAUUGUGCUUGGAAAUUACUUUACAUGUAUUUGGGCUGUCUGUCAAUUUGUACGAAAUUAGACUUUCAGAAAAGUUUAUACCGGAAGGUUAGUAAUUUAUAUAUACUGAGGACUUAGAGCUAGCAGGAAAAAUGAAGAAAAAAAAAAAAA